UCCAGCGCACUCACCUAUCCACUAAACAGCAACUUCAAUGUUGAAAGAUUUUAUUUGUUUUUGCAAUGUAUGAUCAUAUAAUGUAACUAAACCCCCAUUAUUUUUGCCUAGAUUAGGUGUUUUUAAAAAAACAAAUAAAAUCUUUCAACAUUGAAGUUGCUGUUUAGUGGAUAGGUGAGUGCGCUGGA